GAGUUUGAUCAUGGCUCAGAUUGAACGCUGGCGGCAUGCCUUACACAUGCAAGUCGAACGGCAGCAUGAUCUAGCUUGCUAGAUUGAUGGCGAGUGGCGAACGGGUGAGUAAUACAUCGGAACGUGCCCUGUAGUGGGGGAUAACUAGUCGAAAGAUUAGCCAAUACCGCAUACGACCUGAGGGUGAAAGUGGGGGACCGCAAGGCCUCAUGCUAUAGGAGCGGCCGAUGUCUGAUUAGCUAGUUGGUGGGGUAAAGGCCCACCAAGGCGACGAUCAGUAGCUGGUCUGAGAGGACGAUCAGCCACACUGGGGACUGAGACACGGCCCAGACUCCUACGGGAGGCAGCAGUGGGGAAUUUUGGACAAUGGGCGAAAGCCUGAUCCAGCAAUGCCGCGUGUGUGAAGAAGGCCUCGGUUGGUAAGU
rnacentral:rRNA from 1 species